ACUGAGACNAGAACCCAGGCCCUACGGGGCGCAGCAGUCGCGAAAACNUCGCAAUACGCGAAAGCGUGACGGGGCCAUCCCGAGUGCCGUCUGCUGAGGGAUGGCUUUUCCCCAGUGUAUAUAGCUGGNGGGAAUAAGGAGAGGGCAAGUCUGGUGUCAGCCGCCGCGGUAAUACCAGCUCUCCGAGUUGUGGGGACGCUUAUUGGGCCUAAAGCAUCCGUAGCCGGCUGGGCAAGUUCCCCGUUAAAUCCAGCGAUUUAAUCGUUGGACUGCGGGGAAUACUGUCCGGCUAGGGGACGGGAGAGGCUGACCGUAUUCCCGGGGUAGGGGUGAAAUCCUAUAAUCCCGGGAGGACCACCAGUGGCGAAGGCUGUCGGCUAGAACGCGCCCGACGGUGAGGGAUGAAAGCUGGGGGAGCGAACCGGAUUAGAUACCCGGGUAGUCCCAGCUGUAAACGAUGCAGGCUAGGUGUCAGGGCGGCCACGUGCCGCUCUAGUGCCGCAGGGAAGCUGUUAAGCCUGCCGCCUGGGGAGUACGGCCGCAAGGCUGAAACUUAAAGGAAUUGGCGGGGGAGCAC
rnacentral:rRNA from 1 species